rnacentral:tRNA from 4 species
GCCCGAGUGGCGGAAUUGGUAGACGCGUCGGUCUCAAAAACCGAUGAGGAAACUCGUGCCGGUUCGAUUCCGGCCUCGGGUA